CGGAGCUAACGCGUGAAGUUGACCGCCUGGGGAGUACGGCCGCAAGGUUAAAACCCAAAGGAAUUGACGGGGACCCGCACAAGCGGUGGAUGAUGUGGAUUAAUUCGAUGCAACGCGAAAAACCUUACCUACCCUUGACAUGUCUGGAAGGCCGAAGAGAUUUGGCUGUGCCCGAAAGGGAACCGGAACACAGGUGCUGCAUGGCUGUCGUCAGCUCGUGUCGUGAGAUGUUGGGUUAAGUCCCGCAACGAGCGCAACCCUUGUCGUUAAUUGCCAUCAUUUAGUUGGGCACUUUAACGAGACUGCCGGUGACAAACCGGAGGAAGGUGGGGAUGACGUCAAGUCCUCAUGGCCCUUAUGGGUAGGGCUUCACACGUCAUACAAUGGUCGGUACAGAGGGUUGCCAAGCCGCGAGGUGGAGCCAAUCCCAGAAAGCCGAUCGUAGUCCGGAUCGUAGGCUGCAACUCGCCUGCGUGAAGUCGGAAUCGCUAGUAAUCGCGGAUCAGCAUGUCGCGGUGAAUACGUUCCCGGGUCUUGUACACACCGCCCGUCACACCAUGGGAGCGGGUUCCGCCAGAAGUAGGUAGCCUAACCGCAAGGGGGGCGCUUACCACGGCGGGGUUCGUGACUGGGGUGAAGUCGUAACAAGGUAACCAAG
rnacentral:rRNA from 1 species